rnacentral:rRNA from 1 species
AUUGAACGCUGGCGGCAGGCCUAACACAUGCAAGUCGAACGGUAGCACAGAGAGCUUGCUCUCGGGUGACGAGUGGCGGACGGGUGAGUAAUGUCUGGGAAACUGCCCGAUGGAGGGGGAUAACUACUGGAAACGGUAGCUAAUACCGCAUAACGUCGCAAGACCAAAGUGGGGGACCUUCGGGCCUCACACCAUCGGAUGUGCCCAGAUGGGAUUAGCUAGUAGGUGGGGUAAUGGCUCACCUAGGCGACGAUCCCUAGCUGGUCUGAGAGGAUGACCAGACACACUGGAACUGAGACACGGUCCAGACUCCUACGGGAGGCAGCAGUGGGGAAUAUUGCACAAUGGGCGCAAGCCUGAUGCAGCCAUGCCGCGUGUAUGAAGAAGGCCUUCGGGUUGUAAAGUACUUUCAGCGGGGAGGAAGGCGGUGGAGUUAAUAACUUCACCGAUUGACGUUACCCGCAGAAGAAGCACCGGCUAACUCCGUGCCAGCAGCCGCGGUAA